UACCGAACUGUCGACAGGAGCUGUUGCUGGCCCUCGGAAGGGGGCACGUGCACGCUCUGUUUACACAUCCACUCACACCUGUGCACCCUCUGUAGUUCUAUGGCCUUGGGGACCCCGUCCCCUUGCCGUGGUCCUACGUCUUUACACACACACCGUAACAAAGUAUCAUGGAAUGUAUGUCGCGUUUAACGCAAUACAAUACAACUUUCAGCAACGGAUCUCUUGGCUCUCGCAUCGAUGAAGAACGCAGCGAAAUGCGAUAAGUAAUGUGAAUUGCAGAAUUCAGUGAAUCAUCGAAUCUUUGAACGCACCUUGCGCCCUUUGGCUAUUCUGAAGGGCAUGCCUGUUUGAGUAUCAUGAACACCUCAACUCUCAUGGUCCGCCAUGAUGAGCUUGGACUUUGGGGGUCUUGCCGGCCUAGCGUCGGCUCCUCUCAAAUGGAUCAGCUUCCCAGUGUUUGGUGGCGUCACAGGUGUGAUAACUAUCUACGCUUGUGGUUUUCCGCCAUUAACCUUCAGCAAUGGAGGUUCGCUGGAGCUCACAGAUGUCUCUCC
rnacentral:rRNA from 1 species